AGGGGUGUAGCUCAGUUGGUAGAGCGCCGGUCUCCAAAACCGGAUGUCGUAGGUUCGAGUCCUGCCGUCCCUG
rnacentral:tRNA from 1 species